GAUGAACGCUGGCGGCGUGCUUAACACAUGCAAGUCGAACGGAAAGGCUCCUGCUUGCAGGGGUACUCGAGUGGCGAACGGGUGAGUAACACGUGGGUGAUCUGCCCUGUACUUCGGGAUAAGCUUGGGAAACUGGGUCUAAUACCGGAUAGGACAACUUUUUGGAUAUUGUUGUGGAAAGCUUUUGCGGUAUGGGAUGAGCUCGCGGCCUAUCAGCUUGUUGGUGGGGUAAUGGCCUACCAAGGCCUCGACGGGUAGCCGGCCUGAGAGGGUGUACGGCCACAUUGGAACUGAGAUACGACCCAGACUCCUACGGGUGGCAGCAGUGGGGAAUAUUGCACAAUGGGCGCAAGCCUGAUGCAGCGACGCCGCGUGAGGGAUGAAGGCCUUCGGGUUGUAAACUCCUUUCGCUAGGGACGAAGCUUUUUUGUGACGGUACCUGGAGAAGAAGCACCGGCUAACUACGUG
rnacentral:rRNA from 1 species